GACGAACGCUGGCGGCGUGCUUAACACAUGCAGGUCGAGCGGUAAGGCCCUUUCGGGGGUACACGAGCGGCGAACGGGUGAGUAACACGUGGGUGACCUGCCCUCAGCUCUGGGAUAAGCCUGGGAAACUGGGUCUAAUACUGGAUAUGACUCCACGGUGCAUGUCGUGGGGUGGAAAGCCUUGUGCGGCUGAGGAUGGGCCCGCGGCCUAUCAGCUUUGUUGGUGGGGUGAGGCCUACCAAGGCGACGACGGGUAGCCGGCCUGAGAGGGCGACCGGCCACACUGGGACUGAGACACGGCCCAGACUCCUACGGGAGGCAGCAGUGGGGAAUCUUGCGCAAUGGGCGAAAGCCUGACGCAGCGACGCCGCGUGAGGAUGACGGCCUCGG
rnacentral:rRNA from 1 species